rnacentral:rRNA from 1 species
AACAGUUGGAACGACUGCUAAUACCGGAUGUGCCGAGAGGUAAAAGCUUAAUGUGCCUGUAGAUGAGCUCGCGUCCGAUUAGCUAGUUGGUGAGGUAAGAGCUUACCAAGGCGAUGAUCGGUAGCUGGUCUGAGAGGAUGAUCAGCCACACUGGGACUGAGACACGGCCCAGACUCCUACGGGAGGCAGCAGUGGGGAAUUUUCCGCAAUGGGCGCAAGCCUGACGGAGCAAUACCGCGUGAGGGAGGAAGGCUUUUGGGUCGUAAACCUCUUUUAUUGGGGAAGAAGCACUGACGGUACCCAAUGAAUCAGCAUCGGCUAACUCCGUGCCAGCAGCCGCGGUAAUACGGAGGAUGCAAGCGUUAUCCGGAAUUAUUGGGCGUAAAGCGUCCGCAGGUGGUUAAUCAAGUCUGCUGUUAAAGCGUGCGGCUUAACCGCAUAUCGGCAGUGGAAACUGGUUGACUAGAGUUCGGUAGGGGUCACGGGAAUUCCCAGUGUAGCGGUGAAAUGCGUAGAUAUUGGGAAGAACACCAGCGGCGAAAGCGCGUGACUGGGCCUGAACUGACACUGAGGGACGAAAGCUAGGGGAGCGAAAGGGAUUAGAUACCC